rnacentral:ncRNA from 1 species
AUGAUAUCAACAUGUGCCCUUGGUGCAGAUCUUGGUGGUAGUAGCAAAUAUUCAAAUGAGAACUUUGAAGAGUGAAGUGGGGAAAUGUUCCAUGUGAACAUCACUUGGGCAUGGUCGGUUAGUCGAUCCUAAGAGAUGGGGAAUCCUUGUAUCAAGGGUGCACUCUACAUGAACAUCGAAAGAGAAUUGGGUUAAUAUUCCCGAACCGAGACAUGGUGGUGGACGACAAUGUUAGGAAAUCUGAAGAUAAAAACGUCACAUAAAACUUAAAAACAUGUAAUUAACCCAUGCCAUUAAAAAUAAAUUAUUUUAAGAGAAUAAUUCAUACAAAUUAAAAUAUUAUAUAGUCACGUACCUAAUCCAACCUCAACAUCCGUGUAAUCAUCCUUAUUC